AUUAGCUAGUAGGUGGGGUAAUGGCUCACCUAGGCGACGAUCCCUAGCUGGUCUGAGAGGAUGACCAGCCACACUGGAACUGAGACACGGUCCAGACUCCUACGGGAGGCAGCAGUGGGGAAUAUUGCACAAUGGGCGCAAGCCUGAUGCAGCCAUGCCGCGUGUAUGAAGAAGGCCUUCGGGUUGUAAAGUACUUUCAGCGAGGAGGAAGG
rnacentral:rRNA from 1 species